rnacentral:rRNA from 1 species
AUAUGGAAGAACCCUCGAAGCCUAUCCCCGACGAUGAUGCCCCCUGGGCGAAAGGAAAGGGGUCGCCAUUCUCUUUCUUUCCUCAAUCGUUCCGGUCAUUUCUCUCAUUCAUUCCUUUUUGUUUGUUUUUUCGGGUUGGUUUGUUUCCUCCUCCUAUCUACGCAAUUCUCUGUCUUCGUUCGUGAUCAUCUUAGGCGAAAGGAUAGGUAUAAAUUUUGUGGAGGGGCGGCUGUGAAUGGGCGAUUCCCCCUUUUCCAUUGA